rnacentral:rRNA from 1 species
CCUACGGGUGGCUGCAGUGGGGAAUUUUGGGCAAUGGGCGAAAGCCUGACCCAGCAACGCCGCGUGAAGGACGAAAUCCUUCGGGAUGUAAACUUCGCAAGCAAGGGAAGAGCGUGCGAGACCUAAUACGGCUCGCGCCCGACGGUACCUUGCGUAAGCCACGGCUAACUACGUGCCAGCAGCCGCGGUAAUACGUAGGUGGCAAGCGUUGUUCGGAAUUACUGGGCGUAAAGGGCGCGUAGGCGGUCUGUUAAGUCGGCUGUGAAAGCCCGGGGCUCAACCCCGGAGAGUCGGCCGAUACUGGCGGACUAGAGUACAGAAGAGGUAGCUGGAAUUCCUGGUGUAGCGGUGAAAUGCGUAGAUAUCAGGAGGAACACCUGAGGCGAAGGCGGGCUACUGGGCUGAUACUGACGCUGAGGCGCGAAAGCCAGGGGAGCGAA